rnacentral:lncRNA from 1 species
ACAGGCUGCAGUGAACUGGCGCAAUCUCAGCCCACCGCAACCUCUGCCUCCCGGAUUCAAGUGAUUCUCCUGCUUCAGCAUCCGAGUAGCUGGGAUUACAGCAGGUCACAUGGCCAUUGUUGAACCAUUCAUUGGAAAGAGGAAUAGGAUUGCCUGUAUGCUAAUCAUGCCGCAUGUAGAAUUGAAGAUGAAGUCAAAUUCUGCAGAGGAACAGAGCUGCAAAAGGAAAAAGGAAAUAUCUGAACAAAAUUGGGAUUAGGAAGAGAAACGGAGGAUGCCAAUUCUGAGAAAGCAACCAAGAGAGCCCACUAAACUGGCCACUAAAAUGUUUCAUCCCUUACACAGGUCAUGGACUAAGAAAAAAAGAAAAGAGAAAAAAAUGUUUCAUCCUUCCAAACACCUUUCUAGAACUAUUUUGUUCUGCCCUACACACUCCCACCAAAUGAUCUCACUCACAGCUACAUUUCAAGUGUCAGCUUAUGAGCUGUUGGCUUAUAAAUUCAUAUUUUCAGCCCAGACCUUUUUACUGGGAUCCAGAUCUGUAUAUCAAACGGCCUUCUUGAAAUCUUCUUUUGGAUAUCCCAAAGGCACUUCAAGUUCAGCUUGUUUAAAAGCAGAUAGAGGAUCUUCGAUACCCCCCGCAACACAAACAACCCACAUCUCUGCCCCAACCAGAACCAUGCACAGUCUCCUCUAUCCCAGUGAGUGGCAACAUCAUUCAUCCAGGGACAGUAGCCUGAAACCUGAAGCCAUCCUAGACACUUCCUUCUCCCU